rnacentral:rRNA from 1 species
ACUGAAUAGAUACCCUGGUAGUCCAUGCCGUAAACUAUGGAUACUAGCUGUUGGGGGUAUCGACCCCUCCAGUAAGCGAAAGCUAACGCGUUAAGUAUCCGCCUGUGGAGUACGAUCGCAAGAUUAAAACAAUAAAGGAAUUGACGGGGACCCGGCACAAGCGGUGGAGCGUGUUCUUUAAUUUCGAUGCUAAACGAAGAACCUUACCAGGGCUUGACAUCCCUUGAAUUACUCCGAAAGGAGUGAGUGCUUUAUUGAGCAAGGUGACAGGUGAUGCAUGGCCGUCGUCAGCUCGUGUCGUGAGAUG